ACGCCGACUCUUUGUGGCUGAG
rnacentral:misc_RNA from 1 species